UACAGAGGGUGCGAGCGUUGUUCGGAAUUAUUGGGCGUAAAGAGCUCGUAGGCGGUUUGUCACGUCUGCUGUGAAAUCCCGAGGCUCAACCUCGGGCCUGCAGUGGGUACGGGCAGACUGGAGUGCGGUAGGGGAGAAUGGAAUUCCUGGUGUAGCGGUGGAAUGCGCAGAUAUCAGGAGGGACACCGAUGGCGAAGGCAGUUCUCUGGGCCGUAACUGACGCUGAGGAGCGAAAGCGUGGGGAGCGAACAGG
rnacentral:rRNA from 1 species